GAUGAACGCUGGCGGCGUGCUUAACACAUGCGAGUCGAACGAAGCACUUAUCUUUGAUUCUUCGGAUGAAGAGGUUUGUGACUGAGUGGCGGACGGGUGAGUAACGCGUGGGUAACCUGCCUCAUACAGGGGGAUAACAGUUAGAAAUGACUGCUAAUACCGCAUAAGACCACGGAGCCGCAUGGCCCAGUGGGAAAAACUCCGGUGGUAUGAGAUGGACCCGCGUCUGAUUAGGUAGUUGGUGGGGUAACGGCCUACCAAGCCAACGAUCAGUAGCCGACCUGAGAGGGUGACCGGCCACAUUGGGACUGAGACACGGCCCAAACUCCUACGGGAGGCAGCAGUGGGGAAUAUUGCACAAUGGGGGAAACCCUGAUGCAGCGACGCCGCGUGAGCGAAGAAGUAUUUCGGUAUGUAAAGCUCUAUCAGCAGGGAAGAAAAUGACGGUACCUGACUAAGAAGCACCGGCUAAAUACGUG
rnacentral:rRNA from 1 species